ACUUAUGAUGAUUAACUUUGGAAUCUCGUUCGUCUGAACUCCCUGUUGAUAAAUCUUAUUACUGAUGUUG